UUUUUUUGUUUUAUUUUGGUUUGGUUUGGUUUGGUUUGGUUUUUUUCCAAAUAUUCAAACCCAUUCUUAAAUUAUGAAUCUCCUUCUCUAUCAGCAGGAAUAGGUCUGGGAGCCACUCAAUCCAUCCUCAUUUUGUCAAACACAGGGCAGUGACGUACACACAUGGGAAUUACAAGGCAGCAAGUCUUUAGGGCCUGGUCCAAUAAAUAUCAAAGUACAGCUCUGCUUUGCUCCCCACCUUAUCAUGGACUUUAGUACUUGGUUAGUCAAUAAAUAACAUUACUUCAAUAACCUCAUCUCAGUCUAAACUCACAGAAGGGGAAGAAGUGGGAUAGGACACUAUUUUAUACUGUAGGAGACAAAACCCUGUUAAGUUGUUUAAACAGAAAAUAUUUCACGUAGUCCUUGCAGCAAUCCCACUGAGUAAUGCCAUUAUAACUCAUCCCAAAAUUGUGUUUUUGAGGUUCUCCUCUGCAGGCUAUAGAACUUCUUCCAGGCACCUCAAUUGCAGCUGCCAUUGUUUCCUCAGGCUCCAUUCCUUAGUUGUUUUUUGUUGUUGUUGGGUUUUUUGUGUUUGUUUUUUAUUAUUAUUAUUAAAUAAAACACAAAUUACAUGUUUUCAGUUAAGGGCAGAGAAAACUUCCAGAGAAUCCAUUCCAGCAACUAAGGGCAGUAGGAAAUCUGGAAUAACAAGAUGUAUUAUGUUGAAGGGGAGAAGAGGCAGGGAGGAGCUUCUUUUAAGUUAUCUCACAGUAACUAAUCCUGCAAGGAGAGCUGAGAGGAGACAUCCUCUGAACACCAGACUGAACACAAAGUUUCUACAUAACGGCCCUUGGCAAACUCCUCAGGGACUGGGAACUACAGAGCUUGUGCAGCAUUUUCAAUCUCUCCCAGGAAUGUUAACAUGGAAAGAUCCUUCACCUUCCCACUUGAUCUCCCUUGCCAUGUCUGAGGCAAUCCAAACUAUUAAGAUGUCAGAAGAUUCUACAGGAGCCAUUCCCUAAUUAAAUGGAAACAAGUGAGGCUGUGAUGAACAAUAAAAAAUGUGGGCCAAGAUCAGAACCAGGUACACCAAAAUCAGCCUCUCAAGUUUCAUGCUGUAUUUGUGAUGCAAAUGGAUCUGAAAUCCUCACUCAGGUUAUGCUUGUCUUGAUGUCUGCACCCAACAUUUCUCUCAGGACUGCACAGUCUGAUGUGCAGUCUGCCAGAUAGCAAAGAAGAAGGAAGCUGAGAACUUUGUCUCAGCAUGUGUAAAGGUUUGUCACAGCCUGCAGUGUGCAGGUACCUAUCCAAUGACUCUGCUGUGCACCUACGUGUGCUGAGGGGAACUGCUCCACCCCCACAAAAUGAAGACAGAUGAAACAAUGAAUAAAAAGUUUGGAAAUUCCCUACAGAUUUAGAGUCUGUGCCCUAAGCAGUAAUGUGGAGACCAGAAUUCCAGUGACUUGCAGCAAACACUGGGCUGAGGAGCUGCACACAGUGGCCAUGGAUAGCUGUCCCCUUGGAACAGGGCUUGGCUCAUGUCAUGCAGGGCUUUCCUUCUCUGCCAGCUGGGCCUGGAAGCAUGGUCAGUCAUGUCACAGCUGCCACCAGGAAUUGUCACAAGGGAUGGACACAAGGUUUGCCAUCAUCCAGGGAGGCCAGAGAUAACAGUGGAAGCAGAGGUGAACCCACAAAUGAGGUCAAGACAGUGGAAGAGAAAGAAGAUUCAGGCAUAACACUGAAAAAUCUAUUUCAACAUUAAGAUCAGAUCAAUUUAAGCUUAUUGUGGGAAGAAAUAGGUCGUUUUAAAGAUAACUAAUGCAGAACUGAGAUAUCUGGUGCAUGAAAAUUGUAUUGCAGUAAAUUCAAAUAAUCCUUAGUAACUGCAAGGCUAUCUUUGCUGAAAAAUCCCUUCAGCCUCAUCCUCUAACCCAGUCAUAUUCAUUUAUACAGUAAUUUUUCAGCUCUGGACAAAUUAACAAGAACAAGUUCCAGUGAUAUUCACAAGUAUAUUGUCCCCUUUGAUCUAUAUUUAGGAUCCGAGGGUUCUGUAUCAUUUAUUUCAAAACCAAAGUGAGAUUGUGUUGUUUUGAAACUAUAAGUACAGGAUUUUAAAAAUGCCUUGCACACCCUAUAUUUUAUUACUCUGUUAUUCCUGCAGGACCAUUCACUAAGAUACUCUCAGCCACUUUGAGUUAAGUAUGGAGUAGCUUUAAUUCAGAAAAAUUACAGAAAUGAUGAAUGAAAACAAAAGCCUUUUCAGACAAUGUAGAAGGAGCUUGGCUAUAAACUGGAAUGUUAUCAUCCUUUUUUGCAAAGCCAGAAUAAACUUGUUCCUUGGCUGAGGACAAUCAAAAUACGCUGCAUUAUAGGAGCUCAUUGUGCCAACAGAGUCAUUAAAUAUAAGAUUCAGUGAGCCCUGAGUGUUUCAAGAUUCAGUUAUACAGGUUUAUAUUACAGAACUGGGUAGGACAGAAGCAGUUCUGGUAAAAUAUUGCUUAUCAAAUAAAAAAUCCCAGAGUUAACAGCUCUGCCAUGACAAAUAUUUCUGUAUCUGGUCAUGGCCUCUGCUCCCUGUAAUAAACCCUCAGUGCCCAAAGCAGAGAGCCUGUGACAAGCAGCGCUCCUGCUGAAGAGCUCAGAGCCAAGUUAACAUUUCUCCCUGUCCCCACAGCCACUCCUGAGGCCACCAGAACACAGCGACUCUGACACCACUCAGCCUUGCCCACAUUCAGAUAACUCGGUGUCCUCGGCACUCACUGACCUCCCCUCGCUUGCACUGAACAUUUUCUCACACUAAUCUCACUGGGAAAAAAGGAAAUCUCCCCAGCACAGUUUUUGUACCCUCAGUAAGGACAAAAAAAAAGCUCUCCCAGUAGACAAAACUUUCACCACAUUCUUUGGAACAAUAAGUUAACUUUGAGCACCAUUCUGAACAUGGCAUCAAUUUCCUACCUCAAACCUAUCACAGUCAGCAGUGACAUUUACUCUACUUCUGUUUUAUUUUAUAACAGGCAACCUACCUCUACCAUGAAACAGAACAUGAUUCUAGAAAUUAUCACCUGAGGAUUCAGGGUAUAUUUAGGACCUACAUCUGAACCCUGAAGCCUGAGGCAUUGGAAGCAUACAGAGCCCGAGCAAUCCAGCCAUCCUUAUUAUUUGCCAUAUCUCUGCAAUCAUUACCCACAUUUUUAUGUCAAGAAAGAACUGAAGAUUAUUUCUCUAUAGUCCAAAAGAAUCACAAAUUUUUUUAAGAAUUCAAAAUUUUCAAAAAUAAAAACAUGCAUACCGUUUCAAAGUGUUGCUUAUGUCUUUCUUCCCAAGUUAAGACUUGGCUGUUCAGUCACAGAAUCAGCCAUAAUCUAUUGCUAAACUGAUAUUUUAUUUAAAUGCCUGAAGUUUAUUUUAGAUCCAACCUGUCUUAUCCAAGUCAGUUUUCAUUUUGGCUCCGUACGCCUGGGAAAGCUCAUGGCUCAGGUUAUCAGUUCAGAAUGAAUGUAGUAGUCUUUCAUUAAAAAAAUAAAAAAAACCAGUUGUCCAGUUAGAAAAGUCUCAACUUGAAUCACAAAUGUGGUUUGCUUCAUGCCUACAAGCUCAGAGAAUCUAAAAAUUUAGGACUAACAAUUCCAAGAUUCCUGAACAUUUUCAUGAACAAGAGAAAGCAUGAUAAAAUAAAACAAGUGUUAGACAUUAUGCUCUUUCCAUUUUCCUACUUCCUUCAAAAAGACAAGAGCAAAAGUAGUAGCAAAUUCUGUUACAGCUAUAAGGCUGUCCACGCUCCUGGGGUAGCAUAUUACAAACUUUGUUUCUAACACCCAAGAGCGAGCAAAAGCGUUAAAAGCACAGCACAAUGAUCGCUGCAAGAGAAAGCAGAAAGCAAACGCCGCACACACCUUUGUCUGUCCCGGCCGGGCAGUGCAGACGGGCUGUCCCGGCUCCUGUGCGCGGAGCGUCCAACCUUCAUACCCGGGCCAAAACCGGGAGCAGGGAGGGAGGGACCUGCGGCGUCUGGAGCGAAAUCCCGCCCCGCUUUCACAUGUAGAGGGCUCCGAGCUCUCUGAUCACAAAGCAGCUUUACAGCCCCUGUUCAAACAGUUCAGCUCCAGGGUAACAAGUUCAAAGUGGGAGGAGGCAAAAGGAAUCGGAGGGUGGCAACAAUGCCGAGCAGACGUUUCGCUCCUUUUGCAUCCGCAGAACCUGUUCUUCAGGUUGGAAACUGAAACAUCUGCCCGCUGCCCUGUUUGAAAGCUGCGCUCCGAACCUCUUGUCUCCUAACAGGUCUGCAGAGGCAAAAUCGGAUUUUAUGAUGCACAGCCUGUGGGAGGAAAAGUUAAUAAUUGCUGAGCACCGAGGUUUUUUACAUUUUGUACUUCCUUGUGGUAACAUCAGCGAAGCAGCUCGUUCCCCUGUCAGGUCUGUUGGAAGGAAAAGCAGAGAAGCAUGGCACGGAAAUCAACAAACUUGGCUCCCAAAAACUUAAUCAAAACCACAUCAAUGACUUUUUAAGAGAUAAUGGCAGUUUUCUGAAGUCACCAGUAUCGAUCAGAAUACGAAGGAGAAGAAUCAGAUUUUCCUGGCAGAUCAUAGUGUAGCAACUAAUAUUUUAUGCAUGUGUGUGGUUAUAUCUAGGUAUGAAUAUAUAUGUGAAAGUAUAUCACAAAACGGGAAGGUUACUUGGCAUGCUGCACUUCCUCAGCUCAAAACACACUGACAGGACCCCCACCCUUCAAAACAUCACAGAACAACUUUUAGAAUAGAAUAAAAGCCACAUAAUAAGUCAAAGUGGGCACAUACACAGAACUUACACAGUUCAAAUGUUUUAGUACUUGUUGGCAGAGUCCGACCUUCAGCUUUAUAAAUGGUUUCCA
rnacentral:lncRNA from 1 species